rnacentral:rRNA from 1 species
UACAGAGGGUGUAAGCGUUGUUCGGAAUUAUUGGGCGUAAAGCGCGUGUAGGCGGCUUUGCAAGUCGGGUGUGAAACCCCUCAGCUUAACUGAGGAAGUGCGCCCGAAACUGCAGAGCUUGAGUACCGGAGAGGAUGGCGGAAUUCCCCAAGUAGAGGUGAAAUUCGUAGAUAUGGGGAGGAACACCGGUGGCGAAGGCGGCCAUCUGGACGGAUACUGACGCUGAGACGCGAAAGCGUGGGGAGCAAACAGG